CGGGACACGUGGUAUCCUGUCUGAAUAUGGGGGGACCAUCCUCCAAGGCUAAAUACUCCUGACUGACCGAUAGUGAACCAGUACCGUGAGGGAAAGGCGAAAAGAACCCCGGCGAGGGGAGUGAAAAAGAACCUGAAACCGUGUACGUACAAGCAGUGGGAGCCUCUUUUAUGGGGUGACUGCGUACCUUUUGUAUAAUGGGUCAGCGACUUAUAUUCUGUAGCAAGGUUAACCGAAUAGGGGAGCCGAAGGGAAACCGAGUCUUAACUGGGCGUUAAGUUGCAGGGUAUAGACCCGAAACCCGGUGAUCUAGCCAUGGGCAGGUUGAAGGUUGGGUAACACUAACUGGAGGACCGAACCGACUAAUGUUGAAAAAUUAGCGGAUGACUUGUGGCUGGGGGUGAAAGGCCAAUCAAACCGGGAGAUAGCUGGUUCUCCCCGAAAGCUAUUUAGGUAGCGCCUCGUGAAUUCAUCUCCGGGGGUAGAGCACUGUUUCGGCAAGGGGGUCAUCCCGACUUACCAACCCGAUGCAAACUGCGAAUACCGGAGAAUGUUAUCACGGGAGACACACGGCGGGUGCUAACGUCCGUCGUGAAGAGGGAAACAACCCAGACCGCCAGCUAAGGUCCCAAAGUCAUGGUUAAGUGGGAAACGAUGUGGGAAGGCCCAGACAGCCAGGAUGUUGGCUUAGAAGCAGCCAUCAUUUAAAGAAAGCGUAAUAGCUCACUGGUCGAGUCGGCCUGCGCGGAAGAUGUAACGGGGCUAAACCAUGCACCGAAGCUGCGGCAGCGACACUAUGUGUUGUUGGGUAGGGGAGCGUUCUGUAAGCCUGUGAAGGUGUACUGUGAGGUAUGCUGGAGGUAUCAGAAGUGCGAAUGCUGACAUAAGUAACGAUAAAGCGGGUGAAAAGCCCGCUCGCCGGAAGACCAAGGGUUCCUGUCCAACGUUAAUCGGGGCAGGGUGAGUCGACCCCUAAGGCGAGGCCGAAAGGCGUAGUCGAUGGGAAACAGGUUAAUAUUCCUGUACUUGGUGUUACUGCGAAGGGGGGACGGAGAAGGCUAUGUUGGCCGGGCGACGGUUGUCCCGGUUUAAGCGUGUAGGCUGGUUUUCCAGGCAAAUCCGGAAAAUCAAGGCUGAGGCGUGAUGACGAGGCACUACGGUGCUGAAGCAACAAAUGCCCUGCUUCCAGGAAAAGCCUCUAAGCAUCAGGUAACAUCAAAUCGUACCCCAAACCGACACAGGUGGUCAGGUAGAGAAUACCAAGGCGCUUGAGAGAACUCGGGUGAAGGAACUAGGCAAAAUGGUGCCGUAACUUCGGGAGAAGGCACGCUGAUAUGUAGGUGAAGCGACUUGCUCGUGGAGCUGAAAUCAGUCGAAGAUACCAGCUGGCUGCAACUGUUUAUUAAAAACACAGCACUGUGCAAACACGAAAGUGGACGUAUACGGUGUGACGCCUGCCCGGUGCCGGAAGGUUAAUUGAUGGGGUCAGCGCAAGCGAAGCUCUUGAUCGAAGCCCCGGUAAACGGCGGCCGUAACUAUAACGGUCCUAAGGUAGCGAAAUUCCUUGUCGGGUAAGUUCCGACCUGCACGAAUGGCGUAAUGAUGGCCAGGCUGUCUCCACCCGAGACUCAGUGAAAUUGAACUCGCUGUGAAGAUGCAGUGUACCCGCGGCAAGACGGAAAGACCCCGUGAACCUUUACUAUAGCUUGACACUGAACAUUGAGCCUUGAUGUGUAGGAUAGGUGGGAGGCUUUGAAGUGUGGACGCCAGUCUGCAUGGAGCCGACCUUGAAAUACCACCCUUUAAUGUUUGAUGUUCUAACGUUGACCCGUGAUCCGGGUUGCGGACAGUGUCUGGUGGGUAGUUUGACUGGGGCGGUCUCCUCCUAAAGAGUAACGGAGGAGCACGAAGGUUGGCUAAUCCUGGUCGGACAUCAGGAGGUUAGUGCAAUGGCAUAAGCCAGCUUGACUGCGAGCGUGACGGCGCGAGCAGGUGCGAAAGCAGGUCAUAGUGAUCCGGUGGUUCUGAAUGGAAGGGCCAUCGCUCAACGGAUAAAAGGUACUCCGGGGAUAACAGGCUGAUACCGCCCAAGAGUUCAUAUCGACGGCGGUGUUUGGCACCUCGAUGUCGGCUCAUCACAUCCUGGGGCUGAAGUAGGUCCCAAGGGUAUGGCUGUUCGCCAUUUAAAGUGGUACGCGAGCUGGGUUUAGAACGUCGUGAGACAGUUCGGUCCCUAUCUGCCGUGGGCGCUGGAGAACUGAGGGGGGCUGCUCCUAGUACGAGAGGACCGGAGUGGACGCAUCACUGGUGUUCGGGUUGUCAUGCCAAUGGCACUGCCCGGUAGCUAAAUGCGGAAGAGAUAAGUGCUGAAAGCAUCUAAGCACGAAACUUGCCCCGAGAUGAGUUCUCCCUGACUCCUUGAGAGUCCUGAAGGAACGUUGAAGACGACGACGUUGAUAGGCCGGGUGUGUAAGCGCAGCGAUGCGUUGAGCUAACCGGUACUAAUGAACCGUGAGGCUUAACCUU
rnacentral:rRNA from 1 species